GUUAAACCCAGUGCUUUGCACCAAGUCGACAGCAGCCUGGACAGACUGGCUGGCCAUCCCACCAGCAGUCCCCUGCCUGGUGAUAAGUUCUCUAACUCAGCUAGACAUAGCUUGGCUGAAAGUGAGAGAAGAAAGCAGACCUGCCAGAUUCCGAAUUGACCCUUUCUGACCAAUUGAAAAGCAAUUUGGAUUUAUUUGAAGAAAAA